AGCUUAGUGUUUUUUAUACUAAGUGAUUUCUGCCCAGUGAUUUUUAAAUGGCCGCGGUAUCUUGACCGUGCAAAGGUAGCAUAAUCAUUUGCCUUUUUAUUAGGGGCUAGAAUGAAAGAAAAAAUAAAGGUGAUGCUGUCUCUGCUGUAAAAGCAAAAAUUGCUGGUGCCGUGAAGAAGCGGGAGUCUCAAAAAAAGACAAGAAGACCCUAUUAAGCUUUACUUUUAGGUUUUGUUUUUUAUCUUAUAAGAAUAAAAAACAAAACUAUGUAAGUUUGGUUGGGGUGACUAAAAAGGACAAGAUCCUUUUUGUAAAAAAUUACAUUAAGUUAAAAAAAGAUCCAAAUUUUUUGAUUUGUAGAAUAAGUUACUAUAGGGAUAACAGCGUAAUUUUUUCAGAGAGUUCUUAUUGACGAAAAAGAUUGCGACCUCGAUGUUGACUUGUUGUUUCCUAAAAAGGUGCAGAAGCUUUUAGGGUUAGUCUGUUCGACUAUUAAAACAAUACGUGAGUUGAGUUCAAACCGGUGUAA
rnacentral:rRNA from 1 species